UUUUCUUAUAUAUAAAUGUAAUUAUAUAUUUAUUUUGAUAUGUUUAGAUGCUUGCCCUUUCUCUAGUUCAUUUUCCUGACACCUGUUCAUUGUCUGGCGAAGUGAAUGCGAUCAACACUGCAGUUGCAAAGUGCUUAAUAUUGUACUUCAAUGAACUGAACCUGGACGGAAUACUUGGCAGAUGUUUGAGAUGUUUAAUGAAUGGCUCAGUUAUGCAGAGCAUGCGACUACAUGGACCACAUGGCGUUGUGCAAGGCAGUAGCUCUGCUGGUGAUUAUGAAUUCCCAUGGAAGAUGCAGCUUUUUCACAGCCUAGAAAGAAUAGAAAUGCAUCAUUCUUACAGUUUGACUUAACCCUUAUUAUGUUGUUCUCAGUAAAUCGAUCAUUCACUGCCCUGUUACUCACAUUUGAUGCUUGGCAAGUUUUAAUAUUUGGUUGCAGUUGUUCAGCUGCCUAAUUCUACAUGCACUUUAUAUUCCCCAUUGUAGAAGCACUGAUGUGUGACACUGUAAGGAUGCCAGAAAAGCACUAUGUCUGUCUUUUUGAAUUAGGAAUAAAGGAAUGGAUCUGAAUUGACUCUAAUGUGGUGGUUUGUCACUAAACAGUUUGGGAGUUGGAGAGCAUGUGGGCCGUAGUCCCACUGCAAUACAUGAAGAGCAUUACAGCACAAGCCUCAGCACUCUCUCAUCCUAUCCUGUAUAAUAUGCUUCCUUUUCAUAAAUGUAUGCAUCUGAAAAAUUGUUUCUGAAAAAAGGAUUUUUUUCCCAUACAUGUCCUUUUUGGGCAAGUUAACAGAAAUAUAAAAACAUUCUUGUAGCUCAAACAAUGGAGCAUAGUGCUAGCAAAGCCAAAUUCAUGGGUUUGAUUCCCAGGGCAUGCAAGAACAGUCAAAAUGUAUACCUUGAAUUUAAGUCACUUUGGAUAAAACCGUCUGGCGAAUGCGUAAAUGUAAAAGGCAGAUUAAAUGACGGUAAAUUAAUGACGGAUUUCCAACUCACCACAUACAAUGUAAAAUAACCUUUCAACAACAUUUGAAAUCUGUAAUGGUGUUUACAGUCUCUCACUAUACUUAAAUUGACUAAAAAUAAACUUAUACCC